rnacentral:rRNA from 1 species
CCUACGGAUGGCUGCAGUGGGGAAUAUUGGACAAUGGGCGAAAGCCUGAUCCAGCCAUGCCGCGUGUGUGAAGAAGGCCUUCGGGUUGUAAAGCACUUUCAGUGGGGAAGAAAGCCUUGGGGCUAAUACCCUCGAGGAAGGACAUCACCCACAGAAGAAGCACCGGCUAACUCCGUGCCAGCAGCCGCGGUAAUACGGAGGGUGCGAGCGUUAAUCGGAAUUACUGGGCGUAAAGCGCGCGUAGGCGGUCUGAUAAGCCGGUUGUGAAAGCCCCGGGAUCAACCUGGGAACGGCAUCCGGAACUGUCAGGCUAGAGUGCAGGAGAGGAAGGUAGAAUUCCCGGUGUAGCGGUGAAAUGCGUAGAGAUCGGGAGGAAUACCAGUGGCGAAGGCGGCCUUCUGGACUGACACUGACGCUGAGGUGCGAAAGCGUGGGUAGCAAACAGGAUUAGAUACCCUGGUAGUC